rnacentral:misc_RNA from 1 species
GGAGUCGCUAUGCCGGACAUCUUGUACCGCGGGCUCGCCGGAACGCUGAUCGGCAGUGUCAUCGGCUCCAUACCGAAGUCGAGGUCAUCCUCCUCGCCAGGCUCACCGCCAGCGUAGAAUGCAUCAGGAUACGCACGGCGGAGCGCAAGCUGGCGCGCCUUCGAGUACUCAAUUCCGAGGUUCUUCCAGUCGAGGAGCGGCGAGAGGCGCUC